UGGGGAAUAUUGCGCAAUGGGGGAAACCCUGACGCAGCAACGCCGCGUGAAGGAUGAAGGUUUUCGGAUUGUAAACUUCUUUGAUGAGGGACGAACACAAUGACGGUACCUCAAAAACAAGCCACGGCUAACUACGUGCCAGCAGCCGCGGUAAUACGUAGGUGGCGAGCGUUGUCCGGAAUUACUGGGUGUAAAGGGCGUGUAGGCGGGAAAGCAAGUCAGAUGUGAAAUACCGGGGCUUAACUCCGGGGCUGCAUCUGAAACUGUUUUUCUUGAGUGUCGGAGAGGAAAGCGGAAUUCCUAGUGUAGCGGUGAAAUGCGUAGAUAUUAGGAGGAACACCAGUGGCGAAGGCAGGUCUCUGGGCCGCAACUGACGCUGAGGAGCGAAAGCAUGGGGAGCGAACAGG
rnacentral:rRNA from 2 species